UGGGGAAUUUUGGACAAUGGGGGCAACCCUGAUCCAGCCAUGCCGCGUGCGGGAAGAAGGCGUUAUGCGUUGUAAACUGCUUUUGCCAGGGGAUAAAAAGACUCUGCGGAGUUUAUUGAAGGUACCUGGUGAAUAAGCCACGGCUAACUACGUGCCAGCAGCCGCGGUAAUACGUAGGUGGCAAGCGUUGUCCGGAUUUAUUGGGUUUAAAGGGUGCGUAGGCGGCCCUGUAAGUCAGUGCUGAAAUAUCCCGGCUUAACCGGGAGGGUGGCAUUGAUACUGCAGGGCUUGAGUACAGAUGAAGUAGGCGGAAUUGACGGUGUAGCGGUGAAAUGCAUAGAUAUCGUCAAGAACACCGAUAGCGAAGGCAGCUUACUAAGCUGUAACUGACGCUGAGGCACGAAAGUGUGGGGAUCAAACAGGAUUAGAUACCCCUGUAGUCCCUGAGCGGGCUGGCAAGGCGCAU
rnacentral:rRNA from 1 species